rnacentral:lncRNA from 1 species
CAGAGGGAAGACUUCAUUUGAUUAUUUACAGCAAAGGUUCAGAGAAGACUUCAUUUGAUUAUUUACAGCAAAGGUUCAGAGAAGACGUCAUUUGACUAUUUACAGCAAAGGUUCAGAGAAGACUUAAUUUGACUAUUUACAGCAGAGGUUCAGAGAGAAGACUUCAUUUGAUUAUUUACAGCAAAGGUUCAGAGAACACUUCAUUUGACUAUUUACAGCAAAGGUUCAGAGAAGACUUCAUUUGACUAUUUACAGCAGAGGUUCAGAGAGAAGACUUCAUUUGAUUAUUUACAGCAAAGGUUCAGAGAAGACUUCAUUUGACUAUUUACAGCAAAGGUUCAGAGAAGACUUCAUUUGACUAUUUACAGCAGAGGUUCAGAGAGAAGACUUAAUUUGACUAUUUACAGUAGAGGUUCAGAGAAGACUUCAUUUGAUUAUUUACAGCAAAGGUUCAGAGAAGACUUCAUUUGACUAUUUACAGCAAAGGUUCAGAGAGAAGACUUCAUUUGAUUAUUUACAGCAGAGGUUCAGAGAGAAGACUUAAUUUGACUGUUUACAGCAGAGGUUCAGAGAGAAGACUUCAUUUGACUGUUUACAGCAGAGGUUCAGAGAGAAGACUUCAUUUGACUGUUUACAGCAGAGGUUCAGAGAGAAGACUUCAUUUGACUAUUUACAGCAAAGGUUCAGAGAGAAGACUUCAUUUGAUUAUUUACAGCAGAGGUUCAGAGAGAAGACUUAAUUUGACUGUUUACAGCAGAGGUUCAGAGAGAAGACUUCAUUUGACUGUUUACAGCAGAGGUUCAGAGAGAAGACUUCAUUUGACUAUUUACAGCAGAGGUUCAGAGAGAAGACUUCAUUUGACUAUUUACAGCAGAGGUUCAGAGAGAAGACUUCAUUUGACUAUUUAUAUUUCAGACGGAUAUGUGUCUGGAUGGGACAGAAGCCUCAUUGUCAGGGAGAGAGACGUAGGCAGUAGUAGUUAAUUACAUUUUUCUACUUAA